rnacentral:tRNA from 1 species
GCUCCUUUAGCUCAGAAGGACAGAGCAACGGUUUCCUAAACCGUAGGUCGUGAGUUCAAGUCUCUCAGGGAGCG